rnacentral:rRNA from 1 species
UCGGAUUGCAGGCUGCAACCCGCCUGCAUGAAGUUGGAAUCGCUAGUAAUCGCGGAUCAGCAUGCCGCGGUGAAUACGUUCCCGGGCCUUGUACACACCGCCCGUCACACCAUGAGAGUCGGGAACACCCGAAGUCCGUAGCCUGACCGCAAGGGGGCGCGGCCGAAGGUGGGUUCGAUAAUUGGGGUGAAGUCGUAACAAGGUACC